GAGGGCAGGUAGCAAUACCUGACCGGCGAACGGGUGCGUAACACGUGGGUGACCUACCCUCGAGUGGGGGAUAACAUCCCGAAAGGGGUGCUAAUACCGCAUGACAUCCUGUCUUUGAACAGAUGGACAUUAAAGCCGGGGAUCGUAAGACCUGGUGCUCGUGGAGGGGCCCGCGCCCGAUUAGCUAGUUGGUGAGGUAACGGCUCACCAAGGCUUCGAUCGGUAUCCGGCCUGAGAGGGCGGACGGACACACUGGGACUGAGACACGGCCCAGACUCCUACGGGAGGCAGCAGUGGGGAAUUGUUCGCAAUGGGCGAAAGCCUGGCGACGCAACGCCGCGUGGAGGACGAAGAUCUUCGGG
rnacentral:rRNA from 1 species